rnacentral:lncRNA from 10 species
GCGGAUCACCUGAGGUUGGGAGUUUGAGACCAUCCUGACCAACAUGGAGAAACCCCGUCUCUACUUAAAAUACAAAAUUAGCGGGGCGUGGUGGCGCAUGCCUGUAAUCUCAGCUACUCUGGAGGCUGAGGCAGGAGAAUUGCUUGAACCUGGGAGGCAGAGGGGGUGGCGAGCCAAGAUUGCACCAUUGUACUCCAGCCUAGGCAACAAGAGCGAAACUGUCUCAAAAAAAAAAAAAAAAAAAAAGUGAAAUUGCUUACCCAAAUCUACAGUUAACUUUCGUUUUUUAAUGCUUGAUGAAUUUGCAUGUCAUUCUUGGGCAGUGGCCAUGCUGUCUUCUCUGUAUUGUUCCAAUUUGGGUAUAUGUGCUGCCAAAGUGAGUACUGCAGAAUUAUUUCUUGAGAGAGGCACUUACAUGUGCUGAUUGGCACUAAAGCAGUGGAAUGGGAAGAAGAGACUUGGAAGGCAGCCCAGACGAUCCAGGCGUGUGCUAGAUGGCAACUGAGGAGCACGGUGCUACCAUCUUUACUGGUGUUUCCACCUAUGUGCCAGGGGUUCUGUGAGCUACCUGAGAAUACUGAAGUAUAUAAUGCUCUGGCACAUAGUUAGGCACUAAUCAGUGGUAUUUAUCAAGGUGAUUAAAAGCAGAUUUAAAAAGCAGCUCACAGUUGGGCGCGGUGGCUCACACCUGUAAUCCCAGCACUUUGGGAGGCCGAGGCGGGUGGAUCACCAGAGGUCAGAAGUUCGAGACCAGCCUGGCCAACGUUGUGAAACCCUGUCUCUACUAAAAAUACAAAAAUUGGCCACGUGUGGUGGCGGGCACCUGUAAUCCUAGCUACUUGGGAAGCUGAGACAGGAGAAUUGCUUGAACCCGGGAGGUGGAGGUUGCAUGGCAUGAUUAAGGUUCACUGCAGCCUCAAUCUCCCACUCUCCAGCGAUCAUCCCACCUCAGCCUCUUGGAUAGCUGGGACCACAGGCACGAGCUACCAUGCCUGGCUAAUUUAUUUUUUGUAGAGACGGGGUUUCGCCAUGUUGCCCAGGCUGGUCUGGAAUUUCUGACCUCUAGCAGUCCACCUGUUUCCGCCUCCCAAAUGCUGAGAUUAGAGGCAUGAGUCACUGCACCCAGCCCGCAGCCUCUUUUAUAAGGGCAUUAAUCCCCUUCAUGAGGGAUAUUCUCUCAUGACUUAAUCACCUGCCAAAGACCCCACCUCUUAAUACUACAUCAGUGAUGGGUUCAAUGUAUCAAUUGGGUGGGAGGGGGCACAUUCAGACCAUAGCAUCUAGUCAUUCUGGUUUUAUUAAGAUUUAUUAGACCUGAGGCAUGAAAAAUAGCAUACUGGAUGGGACUUCAGCAUCGAUGAGUUGCCUUAGUAAUACUGUUAAUAAAAAGCACUAAAUAUGC